UCCCCGGUAGCUCAGUGGUAGAGCAGCCGGCUGUUAACCGGCUGGUCGCAGGUUCGACUCCUGCCCGGGGAGCCA
rnacentral:tRNA from 4 species